UACGGAAGGCAGCAGUGGGGAAUAUUGCACAAUGGGCGCAAGCCUGAUGCAGCCAUGCCGCGUGUAUGAAGAAGGCCUUCGGGUUGUAAAGUACUUUCAGCGGGGAGGAAGGCGAUGCGGUUAAUAACCGCGUCGAUUGACGUUACCCGCAGAAGAAGCACCGGCUAACUCCGUGCCAGCAGCCGCGGUAAUACGGAGGGUGCAAGCGUUAAUCGGAAUUACUGGGCGUAAAGCGCACGCAGGCGGUCUGUUAAGUCAGAUGUGAAAUCCCCGGGCUUAACCUGGGAACUGCAUUUUGAAACUGGCAGGCUUGAGUCUUGUAGAGGGGGUAGAAUUCCAGGUGUAGCGGUGAAAUGCGUAGAGAUCUGGAGGAAUACCGGUGGCGAAGGCGGCCCCUGGGACAAAGACUGACGCUCAGGGUGCGAAAGCGUGGGGAGCAAACAGGGAUUAGAUACC
rnacentral:rRNA from 1 species